UUGACCACCAAGAAGACCAACAGGAAGGCAGGGGCUCAGGCGAGGACUUUCUGGCAAAGCCUACGCAAAUAUUCCUGGUCUGGAAGAACACUGAUGCCAUGGUGUGGCGGGUCCCUCUGCUCUGCAGAUCUGCUGACCCCCAGAGGCUGUCAGAGCACAGCCCCGACUUGGAACGCCACCGCACUUGCCAGCCAGGAGUGGCCCAAAUCAACUCAUCGGAGGGUUUGCCACCAACUGCAUCCCAACGCUGUUGCUCAAAAUUUCUCAAGUGGCCAUGUGGUAGAGGCUUGGGCUUCAGACACCUUUGGCAAAGAAGUGGCUCCAUUCCUCACAAGGGGCCUGUGGUGGUGAGAGCUGGGGCUGGGGUCAGCCUGUGUGUGUCCCGUCCCACUCCAGCUUCACAGCGAUGAGGUUUCCCCAGGCUCUGCCGCCAGCUGUCACCAAUCUGUUUCCUUGCCUCUAGCCCUGCAUCAUCCUUGAGGAAGAUUAAUGGAGCCGCUUAACACAGUAGUGUUGUUUUUCUCUCAGGCAUCAAACUUUGUUGAGUAAGCGUGUACAAGUGAGAAGCAGAAUUGUAGGUGGGAUAGGAACUGGGUACAUGAUCUUAGGUUAGACACAUCUGGCUUUGAAUCCCAGUAUUUGUUAGAUGACCUUGAUCCAUUUCCUUAAUGUCUCUGAGUCUCAGGCUCUCUGUCUGUAGAGUGAGAAUACCUUCAUUGACAGGCUUAUUGUGAAAAUGUCCUGAAACAAUAUUUUUAGAGAACUUAGUCCAAUGUAACUAUAUAGCAAUUUUUCAGUAAGAUGUAUUAUUGUUUUUAUCCUAUAGCUGGUGGAGUGUGAUGAUGUCUUUAUCCCAUCCCUGCUCUUCUAGAAUGAUUUUCAUUAAUUACCUGCCACCAGAAAGCCACCAUUUUUCUGGCUGACUCUGGUCUCCUUGUCCCAAGCAUCCUCACCAAGAGGCCAGUCAAGCAGGCUUUCAAUGACAUUCCUAGAGCAGUGAUGUCAUAAGCCUGGGCUCUUCAUUAUGUGCUACACUCAACACAGGUAAUCAGUGACGGGGUGGGAGGUGAGUGCUCCAGGCAGGAUGACAAGACAUGGUGAUGACUCCGAACGCCAGUACUUCCCAGCACCUCCUGCAGAAGAGCACCAGGCGGACACCAUGACCGUUGGCCACCAACUCCACCUGCCCCUGGUGAAGGCUGCCCAGUGUAGAGACAGAGCAUGCAGGCUUUGGAGUCAGGCUGCCCGGGUUAGUUAAUCCUACCCAUAACACUUGCUGCAUGACUGUGGGCCAGUCACUUAAACUUUCUUUGUCUCAGCCUCUUGAACUGUAAAUUAAGGUUAAUGAUAGUUAUCUACCUUACAGAGUUGUGGGGAUUAAAUGAGAUGAUGUGGCUUGCAGAGUGCAAGAAUUCUACCAAUAUUAGAUAAUCAUAAUAUAAUUUGGGGAGGGGGAAACUAGCAUCUGCUGUAGUCCAAACAUCAGGAAGCAGUAGAGGAUGCCUGGAUGGGUCAGUUGGC